UGAGGAAUAUUGGUCAAUGGGCGAUGGCCUGAACCAGCCAAGUAGCGUGAAGGAUGACUGCCCUAUGGGUUGUAAACUUCUUUUAUAAAGGAAUAAAGUCGGGUAUGCAUACCCGUUUGCAUGUACUUUAUGAAUAAGGAUCGGCUAACUCCGUGCCAGCAGCCGCGGUAAUACGGAGGAUCCGAGCGUUAUCCGGAUUUAUUGGGUUUAAAGGGAGCGUAGAUGGAUGUUUAAGUCAGUUGUGAAAGUUUGCG
rnacentral:rRNA from 1 species